UUCCCAACAGGUUCUUCCAUUCUGCUACUUCAACGAGCUUGGCAGGGACCCACAGUCUCGGUUUCGGAAAGCUGUACCGUUGCGGGGUUCGACGUCUGGGAGUGUCAGGUUCGACACCCAUCGUGGGCGAGAGGGAACUGGUUCGACCGGACUGCGAGCGGGAAGUCUCCUACGCCAACGGACCCUUCACCGUGAUGAACAAUCGGAUCUGGGACAGCCAGAGAGUCACAGUACGAGAACUCAGACAGCCAUCCCACUCUCGCUGCAGCAAACCCCAGGGAACCAUUGACCUGCUCCUAGUGGAACAGGAACACUGCAGCCAUCUGCAUCACACGAACCUGCUGUUGCUGCUCGCAGUCUGCCUGUCGCAAAACCUGCAACACAUCGCUCUGGUGUAUGAGA